GACCUCGGCUCCCGUGUUGCCAGGAUCCGACCUCUCCUAGUUGAAAACAGCCUCGUGUUCCCCUGGGCCGAGGGGCAGCUCCAGAGGACUGGCUGAGUGCUCCGCGGCACUGGGACCGUUGUGAAGAUCAGAUGGGACAUUGUACGCGAAGGCAUGCUGCGGACACUACAUGCCUGGGCAAGAGCGUGGAGGCCCCAGAGUGGGUCUGAUGACACUGUUGAUGAAGAUCUUGGCUGUGACCUCUGUGGGAAAUGAGCCAUGGACCAACCAAUAUUCAACAUACUUAAUCUGAUUUACUCAUUACCAGUGAUGACGAUCUUGUCUGUCACUUCUGUGGAUAGAAAGCAACGGGACUCAUGUAAGUAACAACGUUUGUGUUCUUGGUUUGAAGGUAAUUCAUGUGGUCCGUGGAACUGUUUCAGAGGAAUGAGUGGCUACUGCAAAGUCAGAGGAAGCCACAUAUGGACCAGUGCUGAGGAUGGUCAUGAACCAGGGAUUAAGAGCGAUCCCUAUUAGUGCAACAGAGGUCCAUGAAAAACGAAGUUUGAGGUUUUGCAUCAUUUUUGCAGUUGCUUAGUAUUGCAUUUUACUUUUGUACCACAUUGUAGGAGUAUUUCUCAGUUGAUGACAGUCUAGGUUGUUAAAUCCUGGAGGAGGGAGCACCUAGCCAGAUAGAAAGUAUUGUUGAUCCUCUAGGUGUGGGGUAAGAUAGUAAGUUCAUUGUACUACUUCUAAAAUACAAAGAAAUUACAUGAAAGCUGAGCAAGUAGAGAGUCAUAAAACACAUGGGAAGGGUAUGAAGCAAGGUUAUUGAUUAAUCUAUAUUGAAACACUGAGAUUCAAUUAAAAAUAGACCUCAUUUGUUAACUCUGUGCGAAAUAAAUAGUUGUAAACAGCUCUGUGCAAUAUUCAAAGAUCUUGCUCUUAGGUUUUUGUGAUUCACAGAAAACAAUUUUUUAAAAAAAUCAAUGAAACCAUGAAUGAAAUGAUAAAUAAUGAAUGCAUAAAUAAUCCAUAAGCAAUGUAUAAGUAGAUAAAUAAAGAGUAUUGAAGUAAAUAAAAAAAAAAAA
rnacentral:sRNA from 1 species